rnacentral:rRNA from 1 species
UCCUACGGGAGGCAGCAGUGGGGAAUAUUGCGCAAUGGGGGGAACCCCGACGCAGCCAUGCCGCGUGAAUGAAGAAGGCCUUCGGGUUGUAAAGUUCUUUCGGUAAUGAGGAAGGGAUGUUGUUAAAUAGAUAGCAUCAUUGACGUUAAUUACAGAAGAAGCACCGGCUAACUCCGUGCCAGCAGCCGCGGUAAUACGGAGGGUGCGAGCGUUAAUCGGAAUAACUGGGCGUAAAGGGCACGCAGGCGGACUUUUAAGUGAGAUGUGAAAUCCCCGAGCUUAACUUGGGAACUGCAUUUCAGACUGGGAGUCUAGAGUACUUUAGGGAGGGGUAGAAUUCCACGUGUAGCGGUGAAAUGCGUAGAGAUGUGGAGGAAUACCGAAGGCGAAGGCAGCCCCUUGGGAAUGUACUGACGCUCAUGUGCGAAAGCGUGGGGAGCAAACAGGAUUAGAUACCCUGGUAGUCC